UAAUGGCUAAAUCAGCCAAAUCAAACUAAACCCCAUUUUCCCCUUUAUCAAACCCUAAAUCUCCCCUCUUAUUGUCGAUUCAUCUCAGUCAAUAGUGCUCUCAAGCCUGAGGAAUGACUUUCAGCCUUGAAAUCUUCCUUUGGCUUCGACUUUAACGAAGCAAAGAAAAGAAAUCCAUGGCAUUUUGCAAGGUAAAACUUAUCUUUUCCUUGUUCUUUUAUUUUUUUACAUGCAAUUGCAAAAGACUCAACAAAACAAAAAAAGAAAAUGGAAUCGAAAAUUAAAGAGACUGGAAAAUGGAGAAUCACCUUUCGAUUUUGAUAGCCUUUUUUGUAUUUCAAUAUGCGUAGUAUGCGUAACCUCUACAAUCGAAUUUCGUUGGCUUUUUAUAGUUGAAAUAAAAAAGAAGAAAAAUGCGAUUACAAAGAGCUUUUUUUUUUUCAUUUUUCUGUCGUUGUUGUUAUUUGCUGUCGUUCCUUCAUUUGUUUGUAGGUACCAGGUAUCGUGGCAAGGCAGCUGGCAUGUACGGGCGUGGGGCGUACGGAGUUCGUGGAGAUCGGGGCUGUUGGGGUCGUUGCGGCGCAAGCAGAAGCUGCUAGGUUUCCUGGCUAUGCUUCUGUUUUGGGCCAUGGGGUAUUGGGUUAGGUUAUUUUGGGUUGGUCUUAUUAAUUGGGCUGAGGUUUGGGUUUAAUGGUUAGGGUUGGGUUUUAUUACUUGUAAAAGGGACUUGGUCAUUUAGUUUUUGUGCUUUUUAGUUGUUUUGGUAUUUUGGUAUGGCCCGGGCUAAAUUGGGCCACUACAAUACUGUAGACUUUAAAGAAAUAGUAAAAUUAAUAUUUCUACUUCGGAUUUGUGAUCUCAAAAUCACUAUUUCGAUUUGACCCUAAAAUGGGCUGUUACAUAAAAUUUUUUUAACAUUAUCAUUAUCAUUAGUUUAUUUGCAUUGAUUUUAUAGAGAUUAAAAAAAUUAAGAUUGAAGAAUACAAGUUAUAAAUCUACAAUGUGUCCAUCUUUUAAACGUUGUACUUAUAAUUUUUUUUAAAAUUUUGUACAAUUACAAUUUGAAAG
rnacentral:lncRNA from 1 species